UUCUUUUUAGGAUAAUAUAAACAUAAUUAACUAGGUGAACUAUUUUAAAUAAUUGGAAGGAAAGGAUAACUACCAUGUUUACCUCUUGGCAAGGUGUUCGGUGUUUUUAAGUUCUCCGAAUGGGACUCUCCGUCUUCUCAGUUGUCCUGGGAUUCGUUGGAUGGCGCAGUCGGUGCUUCCAGUGGCGCCUCCUCUUCGUAUAUAGUUAUCUUCUCUCUCCACACAUGACUCGGUGCUACGGUCUCCUCAGGAUAAUUCUAUUCAAGUUGUAUAUCCUCAGAUCUUAUCACUUCUCCUUCAUAGUCUGCCCAUCCGUCCUUGAUGAUUUUUCUUGUCCCAACCUGCUUAGAGUCUUCAACGAUAUAGUUAGGGUCAGUAAAAUAGCGGCGUACCUUCUCUGAGGGUAAGUGCAUAUGGACUUCUCCAGUUCCAAUGUAGAUGAUUGCUUUAACGGUGCUGAGGAAUGAUCUUCCAAUGAUGAUCGGUGGAUCGUAUUCGUCUUCUCCCAUGUCAAUAACCUAAAAGUUUGUGUAGACAAAAUGAUCGUCUAUUUUGACAAGGACAUCAGUUACUGUACCUUUAACCUCUUGAAAUGUCUG
rnacentral:lncRNA from 1 species